UACAGAGGGUGCAAGCGUUAAUCGGAAUUACUGGGCGUAAAGCGUGCGUAGACGGUUAUGUAAGUCGGGUGUGAAAGCCCCGGGCUCAACCUGGGAAUUGCAUUCGAGACUGUGUAGCUAGGGUACGGAAGAGGGAAGCGGAAUUUCAGGUGUAGCGGUGAAAUGCGUAGAUAUCUGAAGGAACACCAGUGGCGAAAAGCGGCUUCCUGGUCCAGUACCGACGUCAGGCACGAAAGCGUGGGGAGCAAACAGG
rnacentral:rRNA from 1 species